UAAAGCAAAAAUCAAUAGAAAAAUAUACAAACUGAGUUACCACAUCGACAAAGGCAGACGGCAGCCCUGGAGUUUAGUUCAGCGCGCUCUGAUGGAAGAGGGAGGCUGGCUGGAUUCCUUUAACCCCAUGCCUCUAGCCAACCACAUGGCCUACCCAAAUUAAACAGUAAUUACCAAGGUUAGGAAAAGGCCUUGUCAGGACAGGUUUGGCCCCAGGCUUAGCUCAGCCUUGACUCUGGUGGCCUCCCCUCCCCUCUCCGAUGCCUAUAAAUGCCCAGCCUGUCCACACCAGCCAGUCCUCAACACCUGAACCAUGUUGGGAAUUACGGUCCUCGCUGCCAUCCUGGCCUGCGGUAAGCGUGGGAGUGGGGACCAGCUGCAUCCAGCUGGCUGUAAGAUCAAGCUGGCCUUGGGGGUGUCCUCUAUUCCCCCAAAAAGGCACUUUUGGGGUCCUAUGUGGGUUCGCCCACUGAGCAUCUGUGUGUCGGCUAAACCUCUUCCAGAUUAGUAGGCUCUGGAGAACGGAUGGAGAGCUCCCUCCAGGCUGUGAGGAUCAGACAGGAGACCCUGAGCAAGGGCCACCAUAGGUGCUUCAUUCUGGGUUCACUCCAGGGAACCAGUGGGCCUGUGUUUCCCCAUCUGUGUCCCCCCCCACCCCAACCCACAUCCCCACCCCUGAUGGCUCUUGGCUCUCCCAUUUUGGUGACAUUCUCCCAGAUCGAAAUGGAGGGUGCGACCCGGUUUGGUUUGGUUUGGUUUGGUUUGGACAAGUAAAAGCUCUUGAUCAGGAAUCCUAAGGACUCUCUAGAUGCAGGAGCAAACUGGACACUGCAUGUACUGGGUCUGCCCCUAUCUCCAUUCAGCGGUGGAGACUCGGAGGUCCAG
rnacentral:lncRNA from 1 species